UACGGAGGGAGCUAGCGUUGUUCGGAAUUACUGGGCGUAAAGAGUGCGUAGGCGGUUUUCUAAGUUUGGUGUGAAAUCUCCCGGCUCAACUGGGAGGGUGCGCCGAAGACUGGAAGGCUUGAGUAUGGGAGAGGUAAGCGGAAUUCCUGGUGUAGCGGUGAAAUGCGUAGAUAUCAGGAGGAACACCUGCGGUGUAGACGGCUUACUGGACCAUAACUGACGCUGAGGCACGAAAGCGUGGGUAGCAAACAGG
rnacentral:rRNA from 1 species